UGAACGCUAGCUACAGGCUUAACACAUGCAAGUCGAGGGGCAGCAUUUUAGUUUGCUUGCAAACUGAAGAUGGCGACCGGCGCACGGGUGAGUAACACGUAUCCAACCUGCCGAUAACUCCGGAAUAGCCUUUCGAAAGAAAGAUUAAUACCGGAUAGCAUACGAAUAUCGCAUGAUAUUUUUAUUAAAGAAUUUCGGUUAUCGAUGGGGAUGCGUUCCAUUAGUUUGUUGGCGGGGUAACGGCCCACCAAGACAACGAUGGAUAGGGGUUCUGAGAGGAAGGUCCCCCACAUUGGAACUGAGACACGGUCCAAACUCCUACGGGAGGCAGCAGUGAGGAAUAUUGGUCAAUGGGCGAGAGCCUGAACCGGCCAAGUAGCGUGAAGGAUGAAGGCUCUAUGGGUCGUAAACUUCUUUUAUAUGGGAAUAAAGUUUUCCACGUGUGGAAUUUUGUAUGUACCAUAUGAAUAAGGAUCGGCUAACUCCGUGCCAGCAGCCGCGGUAAUACGGAGGAUCCGAGCGUUAUCCGGAUUUAUUGGGUUUAAAGGGAGCGUAGGUGGAUUGUUAAGUCAGUUGUGAAAGUUUGCGGCUCAACCGUAAAAUUGCAGUUGAAACUGGCAGUCUUGAGUACAGUAGAGGUGGGCGGAAUUCGUGGUGUAGCGGUGAAAUGCUUAGAUAUCACGAAGAACUCCGAUUGCGAAGGCAGCUCACUAGACUGUCACUGACACUGAUGCUCGAAAGUGUGGGUAUCAAACAGGAUUAGAUACCCUGGUAGUCCACACAGUAAACGAUGAAUACUCGCUGUUUGCGAUAUACAGUAAGCGGCCAAGCGAAAGCAUUAAGUAUUCCACCUGGGGAGUACGCCGGCAACGGUGAAACUCAAAGGAAUUGACGGGGGCCCGCACAAGCGGAGGAACAUGUGGUUUAAUUCGAUGAUACGCGAGGAACCUUACCCGGGCUUAAAUUGCAACAGAAUAUAUUGGAAACAGUAUAGCCGUAAGGCUGUUGUGAAGGUGCUGCAUGGUUGUCGUCAGCUCGUGCCGUGAGGUGUCGGCUUAAGUGCCAUAACGAGCGCAACCCUUAUCUUUAGUUACUAACAGGUGAUGCUGAGGACUCUAGAGAGACUGCCGUCGUAAGAUGUGAGGAAGGUGGGGAUGACGUCAAAUCAGCACGGCCCUUACGUCCGGGGCUACACACGUGUUACAAUGGGGGGUACAGAAGGCGGCUACCUGGUGACAGGAUGCUAAUCCCAAAAACCUCUCUCAGUUCGGAUCGAAGUCUGCAACCCGACUUCGUGAAGCUGGAUUCGCUAGUAAUCGCGCAUCAGCCAUGGCGCGGUGAAUACGUUCCCGGGCCUUGUACACACCGCCCGUCAAGCCAUGAAAGCCGGGGGUACCUGAAGUACGUAACCGCAAGGAGCGUCCUAGGGUAAAACUGGUAAUUGGGGCUAAGU
rnacentral:rRNA from 1 species